AAGGCAGAUAAUUGUAGAAGUUACCCAAGCUCAAGUUGGGCAAUCAUUGAUAUAAUGUGAUUAGAACCUCAAGAGAAAAUAACAGGGUAGAUAGAGCUGAAUUUGUUUAACAAGGCAUCAAGUUAGGGCAAUUGAGGGUGGGAGGGUGAGGAAGUGAGUGACUUGCACAAGGAUGGCCUGGGAGAAAACUGAGCGGUCAAGAUUUUGAAGGUCAUGUGAGGUGAGAGAUUGGCCAGCAACCCUCGCCCCCAGGAGGAAAGAUAGAUAGAGGUUUGUCUCUGGAGGAACCAAGGAUCUGAAGCCGGAGGGAUGGCAAGAAAGAGACCAGACACUGAAUCAUGUAUAAAUCGAGCUCCACAGACUUAAGCUCUGGCCUUCCACUUCAUGGAUACAUGAGACAGUGAGAAGACCAUAACAUAACAUCAUGGGCAUCAGAAAUGAGUUUAGAGAUCAUUAGAGACAAGCCACAAGACAAACCCGUGCUAUUAACACGGACUGUUACAGCUUAAUGAUAGGGAUAAGAGCAAUAGAGGAGAAAGACGGAGCAUGGCCACAGGUCUGCUCCAUGAAAGAGAGAGAUAGUAGUCAGGAAGAAAGAUGAGUGGUUAAAGCCUUUGCUGGGCCUGUGGGCUCCUGUAUUUAUUGAUUAUCAUAUGCAAAGAUACAUAAUGCAUAGUAAUUAAUGACAUAGGGGAUUAUCAUUGGUAGAAAGGUAAAUUGUCAUAAGAUAAGGGCGGAUCCUUCUUCAGCCUGGGGAGAACAAAGAAACAUACUUUCGCGCCCAAACUAGUUAGGAUCAAAGUUCAUUGCCUCACUGGCCAUGCGCAGGGCAGAGAAUGCGCUCUUCUCAGGUCUAACUUUAUGACUUAAUUAUCUGUCUUGAGUAAACACAGCUGUGGACUGCUACAUCAUGAUAUGGACAAAGAACUAAGCUUUGUAAGGGAAGGCAGUGAAAGAAGAUGAAGGACCAAAUGAUUAUGACCCAUGAUAUCAUUGUUACAGGAAUACUCUCAGUGAGGAAAUCCUUUUACCCAAAGCAUUUUGGAAGCUGCUGUUUAUCUUUGAGUCAUAGAGAAUGACAGAGAAAAGUAUUUUAGAAGACAGAACUUGAGACCAACUUUUUCAUACUCUGAGGUAAUAUAUUAUGUCAUUCUUUCACAUUGAACUGAAAGUUUCCAAGAAUCCCCAGAAUUUUUCAGAUACAUUAUUUUUAUAUUAAUGUUCCCCAAUUUGUGGUUUUGUUUUAUUUAC
rnacentral:lncRNA from 1 species